ensembl:lncRNA
GCUGCCUUGGGUCCUCGUUGCCACGCACAGUCUUUCUCUGGUUGUGGCGAAUGGGGGCUACUCUUCGUCGCGGUGCGUGGCCUUCUCAUUGUGGAGGCUUCUCUUGUUGCGGAGCACGGGCUCAGUAGUUGCGGCACACGGUCUCUAGAGCACAGGCUCAGUAGUUGUGGCUCACGGGCUUAGUUGCUCCGCGGCAUGUGGGAUCUUCCUGGGCCAGGGCUCGAACCUGUGUCCCCUGCAUUGGCAGGCGGAUUCUUAACCAUUGCGCCACCAGGGAAGUCCGUCUAUUGGAUUUUUAAACCUGAAAUGAAUAACUUCUGGAGCACGAAGCAGAUGUUAUAGAAUCAUGACUUUUGAAGUCAGUAGAGGCAUUAAAGCUCAUCUGGUCCCAGCUCCCACUCAGCAGGGAUCCCAGCCCUGAUCCUCCAGCCUCUCCUCUGCCCUUUCCUGUGGUCACUAGUUCUGCUCCUCAUGGACAAGCCCAAGUGGCCAUUGGUGAGCUUGGUUGUAGUUCUGCUUUAUACUGGGCUAAAACUGGCCUCCUGGUAACUCUGGCCAUAGUUGUGCUGGAGCUGUUCUCCUGCCCCCUCCUGACAGACCUUCAGACCUUUGGAAAUUUUCAUACCUCAUCACACCUCUGACCCUGCCCAUCCGCCCAGCCCUCAGCCUUUGUCAAACGAAAUGCCUAGUGCCUUUAGUUAGUCCUUUGCCCCCAUGAUGUCUGCCAGGGCUGCCCUUUGGGAAAACUGCCCAAAUUAGCCCACGUUAUUAGAAGAGGGCCAUGCCCAGAAACAGUAGGGUCAGGACUUGGGUAAAACAAAUGAGGCACCCAGGGCACACAUAUAAGGUGGCACUUGCCUGCUGGCUCCGAGAGAGUGUGCCUCCUUAGGUUAUGUGCCCUCAGCCUGGUCUCUGCUUUGGGGGUUGGCCACACUAGUGUGGGUCACGCAGCAAAGCUUGCUCCCCUGGACAUGUGGGCAGCAUCAGCUCUCAGCAGCUGUGCCCUCUGGUUGGCACGUUCAAUCAGUGGUGAGUCAAGCUCCAGAGCUCGGUUUAUCAUCAGUUGCAGGUCUAACAACAAGGCACUUUGCACUUAUCCUUCAAAACUGUCUGCUCUGCGUUUUGGACCAACUUUACUCCUUAUUCUGAGCUAGUAAAAUUUUAUUUAGAGCUGAAAAAUUUUCUGCUUAGUUAACUUUGUCUUAUUAAGCAAAGUGGAGAGUACGAUGCUGCAAAUAAGCAUGAUGCUUUAAAAAAAAAGUUCCCUCCUGUCAUCUUCCAUUUGCAUCUGGGUUGUGCUGGGUAAAGUUCUUGGCAUCCAGCCAGGCACUAACGCUGACCUUGUCCUGGUCUGUGAUGAUCCUGGUCCGUGGUGACCCUCUCACAUUAUAGAGGCAUCACGUGUCCUAUAGAAGCGGUAGUUGAAGUUUCCUUCAGUCUAGAUAGGUUCCUGAUUUCUGAUGACAAUAACUUGAGAAAAAAACUACUGACCCUAUUUUGGGGUAAUGAAACCACUAAGGAAUGUUGUUCAUUAUAACUUUAUUUUUUAAUGUACUGAUGUAAUAUCUCCCAAGCACUGAGGUUUAGGAUUUAUUUUUCUUUCAAUGGCUUAAAUUACUCAAGUGGCAGCAAAUACAUCUUAAAUGUGUUCAACUCUUUUUUCCUACCCACAUGCCUAGUGUGGCCUUUAAAAACAAGCUAUUUUGGUCAUUAAAUGUGCAAUAUUCACUUCUUAUUCAUUGUUGGCAUUUUACUUGCUUGUACAAAGGAUGAGUUUUUAUAUAGUGAUGAACACAGGAAGAAAUGAGAAUUGGUUAAGUAAAAUUCUGCAAAUAAACUAGAUUCAAAUU